rnacentral:tRNA from 1 species
GGGCUUGUAACUCAGCAGUAGAGUGCGCCGUUCGCAUCGGCGAAGCCGGGGGUGCGAUUCCCCCCAAGUCCA